GGAAAUCUGUAUAUUUAAUUUCUGAGAAAAUAUCCGGUAAGCUCUCUAAACACAGGGAGAGGUUUGGUGGAGCCGUUCACGGUCAGAGCCUGGAGGCCACUGCCUGCCCUGCCCUGGAUCCCGGCUUCUAUGCAGGAAGAUGACCUGAAGGCGUUUCCUGUGGCGUCCAGCCUUCCCCAAGCUCAGGGUAGUGAGGACUGUGCCAAGCCAAGCGUGGGCACUGCAGCUCUUGGGGUCGUGUCUCAGAACUCCCUAUGGACAAUUCAAGGAAUGUGAGCGCUCUGUGCAGCACUCUGAGAGCUGGAAUCCCUAAGCCAGGAGGCUGGAUAAAUCUAGAAAAUGCACCUGUUAACAUCUCUUGGACCCCCACCAUAUACCAAAUUGGUGAAAUCAUUUUUGCUGAGCUUAUAUGUAAGAUGAAGACAAACCUGCCUAUGAGGCUUUCCUCCCCGGACACUGGCCUCUCUGUGUUUUCUCAGAGGGCCUCCAGCGGCUCACUCUCCCACAGCACCUCCGCCACGCUCCUCCCAGAGGGAGCCUCUCAGAAGCACGGCUUGGAUCCCCUGACGCUGUCCCUGAACACCUGCCCGAGCUCCCCACACCCUCUGAGUAAAGUCUUAAAUCCAUAGCUUCCUCCAGUCUGAGGACAGUGUCCUGCGCUUGUUUGAUCCCUGGGGCUUGGCCGACAGGACGGGCCUGUCACUACUGGGGUGUGGAUCGGGCAGAUGGCCCGAUUCCGCGGGAGCAUGCCCCUGCCAGCCUGUGUCCCCCGCUGCCAGCACACUCCACGUUCAGUCACACGGGACUUUGUUCAGUCCCUACACCACCGUGCCCUCUGGAGCUGAGGGCUCUUUUGGCACGUGCUCACCCCUUUAAGGCGGCACAGGACCUCCCCACAAAGCCCAAAGGCCUGG